CGGCGGUAGCUCAGUGGUAGAGCAGGAUGUUCCUCCAGAUUCUUGUCGUGCUGCCGGCACCUUCGCUUUCGUUGCGCGGGGAAUGCAGGUGGAACUACAUCGGAAGCCCUUCGGGGUCGGGUUCAAGUCCCGGCCGUCAUCCA
rnacentral:tRNA from 2 species